rnacentral:rRNA from 1 species
UGCCAGCAGCCGCGGUAAUACGGGGGGGGCAAGCGUUGUUCGGAAUUACUGGGCGUAAAGGGUUCGUAGGUGGCCAACUAAGUCAGACGUGAAAUCCCUCAGCUUAACUGGGGAACUGCGUCUGAGACUGGAUGGCUUGAGUGCAGGAGAGGAACGCGGAAUUCCAGGUGUAGCGGUGAAAUGCGUAGAUAUCUGGAGGAACACCGGUGGCGAAGGCGGCGUUCUGGACUGCAACUGACACUGAACAACGAAAGCCAGGGGAGCAAACGGGAUUAGAUACCCCGGUAGUCCUGGCCCUAAACGAUGAAUGCUUGGUGUGGCGGGUAUCGAUCCCUGCCGUGCCGCAGCUAACGCGUUAAGCAUUCCGCCUGGGGAGUACGGUCGCAAGGCCGAAACUCAAAGGAAUUGACGGGGGCCCGCACAAGA